rnacentral:rRNA from 1 species
CCUACGGGGAGCAGCAGUGGGGAAUUUUGCGCAAUGCUCGUAAGAGUGACGCAGCGACGCCGCGUGAAUGACGAAGGCCUUCGGGUCGUAAAGUUCUUUCGACAGGGAAGAAAAUGCCUAUAAGUAACUGUGUAUGUAUUGACGGUACCUGUAUAAGCAGCCCCGGCUAACUCCGUGCCAGCAGCCGCGGUAAUACGGAGGGGGCGAGCGUUGUACGGAGGGACUGGGCGUAAAGAGCACGUAGGCGGUGUUGUAAGUCAUUAGUCAAAGACUAGAGCUCAACUUUAGUAAGGCUAGUGAUACUAUAAUACUAGAGUAUCAGAGAGGAUUGCAGAAUUCCUGGUGUAGCGGUGAAAUGCGUAGAUAUCAGGAGGAAUACCGUUAGCGAAGGCGGCAAUCUGGCUGGAAACUGACGCUGAGGUGCGAAAGCGUGGGUAGCAAACAGGAUUAGAUACCCCUGUAGUC